GCCCGCAUGGCUCAGCUGGUAGAGCAGGGCUUUCGUAAAGCUCAGGUCGGGGGUUCAAUUCCCUCUGCGGGCUCCA
rnacentral:tRNA from 7 species